rnacentral:rRNA from 1 species
GACGAACGCUGGCGGCGUGCUUAACACAUGCAAGUCGAACGGAAAGGCCCUGCUUUUGUUGGGUGCUCGAUUGGCGCACGGGUGAGUAACACGUGUGUAACCUGCCCUUGACUUUGGGAUAACUUUAGGAAAAUGGGGCUCAUACCGGAUAUGAGCUCCUGCUGCAUGGUGGGGGUUGGAAAGUUUCGGCGGUUGGGGCUGGACUCGCGGCUUAUCCGCUUGUUGGUGGGGUUGUGGCUUACCCAGGCUUUGACGGGUAGCCGGCCUGAGAGGGUGACCGGCCACAGUGGGACUGAGAUACGGCCGAAACUCCUACGGGAGGCAGCAGGGGGGAAGAGUGCAGGAGGGGCGGAAGCCUGAUGCAGCAACGCCGCGUGCGGUAUGACGGCCUUCGGGUUGUAAACCGCUUUCGCCUGUGACGAAGCGUGAGUGACGGUAAUGGGUAAAGAAGCACGGGGUAACUACGUG